rnacentral:rRNA from 1 species
AUUCCCCUAGUAACGGCGAGUGAACAGGGAAAAGCCCAGCACCGAAGCCUGCGGUAGUUUUACUGUUAGGCAUUGUGGUGUUUGGAGGGGCUCGCGGGAUUGCCGCUCCACUCGAAGUCCAGCAUUGAGUAUGGUUUCUGGAUUUGGCCCAGAGAGGGUGAAAGGCCCGUGCGGGUGGAGUUUCAGACAUGAUUGGCAAUUCACUAGGUCCCUCCUAGAGUCGGGUUGUUUGGGAAUGCAGCCCAAAGCGGGUGGUAAACUCCAUCCAAGGCUAAAUACUAGCACGAGUCCGAUAGCGAACAAGUACCGUGAGGGAAAGUUGAAAAGUACUUUGAAGAGAGAGUAAACAGUACGUGAAACCGCAUGAAGGUAAACGGGUGGCGUCAAGCUGCAAGCCUAGAGGAUUCAGUCGGUCAGGAUGUUGUGUAUGUGCCUAGCGCAUCUAUCAGUCGGUAUAGUUCAAACAGUCUGGCUGUGAAAGACAGACCCGGUCGCAAGACUGGUAUUUGCAGUCCGUUUGGUUGGCGGAGCAAACUGUUUGGCUGUGGGCUGUCUGGCCGAUGCACUUUCUCUAUGGUGAACACCACGACCGGUGGUACUGCCAGUCUGCUUUGGUCAAGUCCUUGUUAACUGGUACUUGUUGCUAGUUAGCCUGGAUCACAUGCAAUUUCAGUGUACGGUGUUCGAGCAUUUCGGUGUUUGAGCAUGUUAUCGGAGGCUGGUUGUAAACGGGCUGUAUGAAAUGGUUGUAAGACUUUUCGUGCAAUCUGGUGGACCUUUGUGGUAUGAAUAACUGUGCAGGGCACUGGUGUUGUCGGUCUCUGAAUCUGGCUGCUGCCCACUUUGCAAGUGGUUUGCAGGCGUCGUUCGCGUUUGCCUAUGCUUCGAUCUGAUGGUCGUGUCGCCCGCGAAAAGUGGGCCCGGCUUUGGUCUGGUGUAGGAUGAGCGUGUUGCGGCGUUUGUUGUAGUAGUCAGUGUGGACCUAACAGUCUGUGGUGUAGUGGUAGACGAGCUACCCGACCCGUCUUGAAACACGGACCAAGGAGUUUAACAUGCGCGCAAGUCAUGGGGUCUUACGAAACCCAAAGGCGCAGUGAAAGUGAAGCCUCGUCUUGUCGCGGGGUGUGGUGAGAUCCUGCUGUUACUCGCAUCGUCUAUUGUGCUAGCACUAGGCAAAGAGCAGCAGGCGCAUCACCGGCCCGUCCCAUGAUGUGGUCGUCGGCUUCGGUU